rnacentral:rRNA from 1 species
GGGGGAUAACAUUAGAAAUGACUGCUAAUACCGCAUAAGACCGCGGUACCGCAUGGUACAGCGGUAAAAACUCCGGUGGUAUGAGAUGGGCCCGCGUCUGAUUAGCUAGUUGGCGGGGUAACGGCCCACCAAGGCGACGAUCAGUAGCCGACCUGAGAGGGUGACCGGCCACAUUGGGACUGAGACACGGCCCAAACUCCUACGGGAGGCAGCAG